rnacentral:rRNA from 1 species
AGAGUUGUCUUGGCUCAGGACGAGCGCUGGCGGCGUGCCUAAUACAUGCAAGUCGAACGAAACUUUCUUACACCGAAUGCUUGCAUUCACCGUAAGAAGUUGAGUGGCGGACGGGUGAGUAACACGUGGGUAACCUGCCUAAAAGAAGGGGAUAACACUUGGAAACAGGUGCUAAUACCGUAUAUCUCUAAGGAUCGCAUGAUCCUUAGAUGAAAGAUGGUUCUGCUAUCGCUUUUAGAUGGACCCGCGGCGUAUUAACUAGUUGGUGGGGUAACGGCCUACCAAGGUGAUGAUACGUAGCCGAACUGAGAGGUUGAUCGGCCACAUUGGGACGGAGACACGGCCCAAACUCCUACGGGAGGCAGCAGUAGGGAAUCUUCCACAAUGGACGCAAGUCUGAUGGAGCAACGCCGCGUGAGUGAAGAAGGUCUUCGGAUCGUAAAACUCUGUUGUUAGAGAAGAACACGAGUGAGAGUAACUGUUCAUUCGAUGACGGUAUCUAACCAGCAAGUCACGGCUAACUACGUGCCAGCAGCCGCGGUAAUACGUAGGUGGCGAGCGUUGUCCGGAUUUAUUGGGCGUAAAGGGAACGCAGGCGGUUUUUUAAGUCUGAUGUGAAAGCCUUCGGCUUAACCGGAGUAGUGCAUUGGAAACUGGAAGACUUGAGUGCAGAAGAGGAGAGUGGAACUCCAUGUGUAGCGGUGAAAUGCGUAGAUAUAUGGAAGAACACCAGUGGCGAAAGCGGCUCUCUGGUCUGUAACUGACGCUGAGGUUCGAAAGCGUGGGUAGCAAACAGGAUUAGAUACCCUGGUAGUCC